CCUACGUGGAGCAGCAGUGAGGAAUAUUGGUCAAUGGGCGCGAGCCUGAACCAACCAAGUCGCGUGAGGGAUGACGGUCCUACGGAUUGUAAACCUCUUUUGCCGGGGAGCAAGCGUGCGUUCGUGAACGCACGUCGAGAAUACCCGGAGAAAAAGCAUCGGCUAACGACGUGCCAGCAGCCGCGGUAAUACGGAGGAUGCGAGCGUUAUCCGGAUUUAUUGGGUUUAAAGGGUGCGUAGGCGGGAUGCCAAGUCAGCGGUAAAAAUGCGGUGCUCAACGCCGUCGAGCCGUUGAAACUGGCGUUCGUGAGUGGGCGAGAAGUAUGCGGAAUGCGUGGUGUAGCGGUGAAAUGCAUAGAUAUCACGCAGAACCCCGAUUGCGAAGGCAGCCUUCCGGCGCCCUACUGACGCUGAGGCACGAAAGUGCGGGGAUCGAACAGGAUUAGAUACCCUUGUAGUC
rnacentral:rRNA from 1 species